rnacentral:sRNA from 1 species
GCCAUACUACGGUGCAAUCCGGUGGAAAGUAAACGAUGACCCCCGCUGAACUCUGCGUUAAAAUACGUAUCAAAUUGCAAAAGAAACCGGGCUCUGUACUUUUGAGUCAGGUUUU